AUUGAACGCUGGCGGCAGGCCUAACACAUGCAAGUCGAACGGUAGCACAGAGAGCUUGCUCUUGGGUGACGAGUGGCGGACGGGUGAGCAAUGUCUGGGAAACUGCCUGAUGGAGGGGGAUAACUACUGGAAACGGUAGCUAAUACCGCAUAACGUCGCAAGACCAAAGAGGGGGACCUUCGGGCCUCUUGCCAUCGGAUGUGCCCAGAUGGGAUUAGCUAGUAGGUGGGGUAACGGCUCACCUAGGCGACGAUCCCUAGCUGGUCUGAGAGGAUGACCAGCCACACUGGAACUGAGACACGGUCCAGACUCCUACGGGAGGCAGCAGUGGGGAAUAUUGCACAAUGGGCGCAAGCCUGAUGCAGCCAUGCCGCGUGUAUGAAGAAGGCCUUCGGGUUGUAAAGUACUUUCAGCGGGGAGGAAGGGAGUAAAGUCAAUACCUUUGCUCAUUGACGUUACCCGCAGAAGAAGCACCGGCUAACUCCGUGCCAGCCGCCGCGGUAA
rnacentral:rRNA from 1 species